rnacentral:rRNA from 1 species
UUAGAGGAAGUAAAAGUCGUAACAAGGUUUCCGUAGGUGAACCUGCGGAAGGAUCAUUACCGAGUUUUCGAGCUUCGGCUCGACUCUCCCACCCUUUGUGAACGUACCUCUGUUGCUUUGGCGGCUUCGGCCGCCAAAGGACCUUCAAACUCCAGUCAGUAAACGCAGACGUCUGAUAAACAAGUUAAUAAACUAAAACUUUCAACAACGGAUCUCUUGGUUCUGGCAUCGAUGAAGAACGCAGCGAAAUGCGAUAAGUAAUGUGAAUUGCAGAAUUCAGUGAAUCAUCGAAUCUUUGAACGCACAUUGCGCCCCUUGGUAUUCCGGGGGGCAUGCCUGUUCGAGCGUCAUUACAACCCUCAAGCUCUGCUUGGAAUUGGGCACCGUCCUCACUGCGGACGCGCCUCAAAGACCUCGGCGGUGGCUGUUCAGCCCUCAAGCGUAGUAGAAUACACCUCGCUUUGGAGCGGUUGGCGUCGCCCGCCGGACGAACCUUCUGAACUUUUCUCAAGGUUGACCUCGGAUCAGGUAGGGAUACCCGCUGAACUUAAGCAUAUCA